GUUAAUCGGAAUUACUGGGCGUAAAGCGUGCGCAGGCGGUGUUGUAAGGCAGGUGUGAAAUCCCCGGGCUUAACCUGGGAACUGCAUUUGUGACUGCAUCGCUGGAGUGCGGCAGAGGGGGAUGGAAUUCCGCGUGUAGCAGUGAAAUGCGUAGAUAUGCGGAGGAACACCGAUGGCGAAGGCAAUCCCCUGGGCCUGCACUGACGCUCAUGCACGAAAGCGUGGGGAGCAAACAGG
rnacentral:rRNA from 1 species